CAAGUAUUCAAAGAUAUCAGCCAAGCUCAAAAAGCAAAGAGGAUGUGAAUCAGAUCUCGCUCGCUUGCUUAUGUAGAAUGUUUAAAUGGGGAUGAGGUCUCCUGUUUGACCUCACUGGUUCAUAGCUCCGGAUCAAAAGCGUUUACCCUUCUUUAAAAAAAUGUUUUUCAUAUACAUAUUUUAAAUAAUGUGACAUUCAGUGUUUGGAUUAUAUGAUUUUCAUGAUGGAGAUCAAGGUUCAAAUUUUUGAACGAGAACAGAUUGAAUGAAUAUCUCAAUGUUUGAUUUACUAAU